rnacentral:rRNA from 2 species
AGGUUGAUAUUCCUGUACCACCUCUUUAUCGUUUGAGCAAUGGAGGGACGCAGAAGGAUAGAAGAAGCGUGCGAUUGGUUGUGCACGUCCAAGCAGUUAGGCUGAUAAGUAGGCAAAUCCGCUUAUCGUAAAGGCUGAGCUGUGAUGGGGAAGCUCCUUAUGGAGCGAAGUCUUUGAUUCCCCGCUGCCAAGAAAAGCUUCUAGCGAGAUAAAAGGUGCCUGUACCGCAAACCGACACAGGUAGGCGAGGAGAGAAU